AGCGAACGCUGGCGGCAGGCUUAACACAUGCAAGUCGAGCGGGCAUCCUUGUGGUGUCAGCGGCAGACGGGUGAGUAACGCGUGGGAACGUGCCCUUCGGUUCGGAAUAACUCAGGGAAACUUAAGCUAAUACCGGAUACGUGCGAGAGCAGAAAGGUUUAUCUGCCGAAGGAUCGGCCCGCGUCUGAUUAGCUAGUUGGUGAGGUUAUGGCUCACCUAGGCGACGAUCAGUAGCUGGUCUGAGAGGAUGAUCAGCCACACUGGGACUGAGACACGGCCCAGACUCCUACGGGAGGCAGCAGUGGGGAAUAUUGGACAAUGGGGGCAACCCUGAUCCAGCCAUGCCGCGUGAGUGAUGACGGCCUUAGGGUUGUAAAGCUCUUUUCUCCGGGACGAUAAUGACGGUACCGGAGGAAUAAGCCCCGGCUAACUUCGUG
rnacentral:rRNA from 1 species